rnacentral:tRNA from 1 species
GGAGAGGUGGCUCGAGUGGUCUAAGGCACCGGUUUCGAAAACCGGCAUACGGGCAACCGUAUCGAGGGUUCAAAUCCCUCCCUCUCCG